UACGUAGGGUGCAAGCGUUAAUCGGAAUUACUGGGCGUAAAGCGUGCGCAGGCGGUUUUGUAAGUCUGUUGUGAAAUCCCCGGGCUUAACCUGGGAAUGGCAAUGGAGACUGCAAGGCUAGAGUUUGGCAGAGGGGGGUAGAAUUCCACGUGUAGCAGUGAAAUGCGUAGAGAUGUGGAGGAACACCGAUGGCGAAGGCAGCCCCCCUGGGUCAAGACUGACGCUCAUGCACGAAAGCGUGGGGAGCAAACAGG
rnacentral:rRNA from 1 species